GCACGGAGGACAUUCUGUAUUUUAGGAAGUUCACAGGGAUGGUCACAUGGUGGGAAUUAGUAUUAUAAACUUUGCACAUUCCAAUGUUCUAGUUGUGGGAUUUUCUCCUGUUAAUCUGCAACUAACACAGCCAACUGGCAGAUCUUCAAACUCUUAGAGAUCGGUUUGAUGGACAUAAUAUGAAUGUUUUGAGAAACCCUCUGGUGGCUGGCUUAGCUCCAAAAUAUAUGAAGGACUUGAACCUCACAAUUAUAAUAAACAAGGAAAGUUAUCCAUUGGGCAAACCAAUAAGAUAAUCCUAACUGCACGUAAGUGAUAAAUUGGAAUUUAUAUUCAGAGGCUAAAGGUCAAUUAGAAGUUUUCAAGAUUCCUUCUCGGUCCAAACAUCUUUGGAUAUCUCUGAUGUAUUGUUGGUGACUUCACAACCAAACAGAAAAAAUCCAAGAAGCACUUUGUAUCUCUCAGCUGUGGGAACCUCUGAUGGCCUCACCAUUCAGCAGGUCCAGGG